UGGUUAAUGAGAGCAAACGCUGUGGGCCUU
rnacentral:piRNA from 1 species